UACGGGGGGAGCAAGCGUUGUUCGGAUUUACUGGGCGUAAAGGGCGCGUAGGCGGCGUGACAAGUCACUUGUGAAAUCUCCGGGCUUAACUCGGAACGGUCAAGUGAUACUGUCGUGCUAGAGUACAGAAGGGGCAACUGGAAUUCUCGGUGUAGCGGUGAAAUGCGUAGAUAUCGAGAGGAACACCUGCGGCGAAGGCGGGUUGCUGGGCUGAUACUGACGCUGAGGCGCGAAAGCGUGGGUAGCAAACAGG
rnacentral:rRNA from 1 species